rnacentral:rRNA from 1 species
GACGAACGCUGGCGGCGUGCUUAACACAUGCAAGUCGAACGAUGAAACCUAGCUUGCUAGGUCGAUUAGUGGCGAACGGGUGAGUAACACGUGACUAACCUGCCCCUUUCUCUGGGAUAACGCUCCGAAAGGAGUGCUAAUACCGGAUACUCACAUCGAGGCACAUGCCUUGAUGUGGAAAGUUUUUCGGAAAGGGAUGGAGUCGCGGCCUAUCAGCUUGUUGGUGAGGUAACGGCUCACCAAGGCGACGACGGGUAGCCGGCCUGAGAGGGCGACCGGCCACACUGGGACUGAGACACGGCCCAGACUCCUACGGGAGGCAGCAGUGGGGAAUAUUGCACAAUGGGCGCAAGCCUGAUGCAGCGACGCCGCGUGAGGGAUGAAGGUCUUCGGAUUGUAAACCUCUUUCAGUAGGGACGAAGCGAAAGUGACGGUACCUAAAGAAGAAGCACCGGCUAACUACGUGCCAGCAGCCGCCGUAA